CACGUGUCAAAUAUUACGUAUAAGCUAAAUUUGCUUGGCCCUGCAGACCUCUAUUACAAAGAUAAUCUUCUCGCAUCAGGGCUGGAUUUUUUGUUGGAUAAUGGAACUACUUGCAGCUACUUCAGCCCUAACAUAUACCAACCUGUUCUUUCUCAGGUGAUACAAAAGAGAAAAGAAUGCUGCUUAUCAUUUAGAAUUUCGCAGGAUAAAUUUUAAGUGUACUAGUCGAUUUUCAAGUGAAAGAAUGGGUAGCCAAUGUGGGAACCCUAGUUGAGGAUCCGUAUCUUCCUGUCUGCUGGAAACCUAUGACAUCUUCCCAUGACUUCUUGGACUCUUUUGGGUCCAUGUUUUUGAGCUUCACGAGUGACGACAAUGUCUAUUUUGUGCUAACGCCAUUUGACUAUCUUCCUAUCGGCGUAAGAACCCUGUCAAAAAAAUCAGUAUGAUUGCGGCAAUUUUUCACAAGAAACUAUCAAGUAUUUAGCAAUCUCUUAAAUUGUAGCCUCGGGAUAAUGUGUGCUUGGGGAUCCUAGAAAGCCGGGCACUUAGACCGGAUGUUGAAAACCUGAACAUACUUGGAGGUAAUAAAUACCAAGGCAUCAAAAGAAUAACUUAAUGAACUUUUCAUCCAUAAAGCUAAUUAUCA
rnacentral:lncRNA from 1 species